rnacentral:rRNA from 1 species
UACGUAGGUGGCAAGCGUUAUCCGGAUUUACUGGGUGUAAAGGGCGUGUAGGCGGUUCUGCAAGUCGGGUGUGAAAUUUCCGGGCUUAACCCGGACGGGUCACCCGAAACUGCGGAACUUGAGUACUGGAGAGGAUAGUGGAAUUCCUAGUGUAGCGGUAAAAUGCGUAGAUAUUAGGAGGAACACCAGUGGCGAAGGCGGCUAUCUGGACAGUAACUGACGCUGAGGCGCGAAAGCGUGGGGAGCAAAC